GUGUAAGAAAGAAAGGAUAUAUAUCAUAUUACCUCAUGCCAUGAAGAUGCCGCGUCCUCUCUUUCUCUUCUCUAUUUUUCUCAUGCACGCCCCCUGAUUUUAUGGUGUCUCAAAACUGAUCACAUCAACCAUUAGCCAUCCCAUAUGACCUAUGGUUUAAAUAGGCAAAGAGUAGUUAGAAUUUGGUUAGGAGAUAAGAGUCCUAUUCUCCUUGGACUCUUGAUUUUUUUGUGCCACCAACCCAACUCCUUUUACACCC
rnacentral:lncRNA from 1 species